AUUCUGCCCAUGCGGGGAAGGAUGAGAGGCUUCGACCAAGGUUCGACUCGAGUGCCAGCGAGAGGCGUUGCCGCAGGCAACGACCCGUAGGGACGAAGCGCAGCCCCAUGAGUAAUCCUUCCCCCCACCACCA
rnacentral:sRNA from 1 species